CCACCAUGCCAGUUCUUGGCUCACUCACUAGACUCCCCUAACUUUUGCUGCAUCAACAGCUGCGCACUUGCAACUUCAACCCAGAUCAUGGUGGGCGAAUGGCAGGAUCAUCUUCAUGGUUCUUGAGAUCAGGAGCAGCAUAUGCAGCAUGAGGAUGGAGAAAAAUGGCUGGGCUGUUCCUUCUCCUCCUCCUCCUCCUCCUCCCCAAGAACUCCUCAGUUUGUCCAUGCCUUUCAUGGGCUAAUUCCCUGGACUCCAGAAUCUCUGGGUGGGUGGGCUUAGGGAGGUAUGAAACAAACCGGCAAGUCAUAAAUCGGCAAUGGUGAGCUCCGGCAGGAGUCUACUCCUCAGUUACCAAAUUUAUUUUCAUUCCCUUGUAACCUCUAUUCCAGUUGUUUCUACUUUCUGUUGUUCCCUCUUACAAAGGCCAUUCCAAUUGCAUCUUGUGGAAGCAGACAAAAUGUUGUCUCGGUGUAGUAUUGUUUUGUGGAGUCAAUAGUUGCGUGUAUGUUGCUUGGGAACACUUUAUUGUGAGAUGCUCAUAUGAGGUCGGUAGUGGAAGUACCUAAGGCCAUUCUGUUUCUCUGCAGCUCAGUCAUAAAUGUGUUGCUCUGUGAUAUAGCAAGAACAAGAAGAACAUGUAUCAAAUGUGAUCUUCUAGAGUACUGCACAAUCAGUACUGCAGAGGAUCUGAACUCAACAUGUAUGUGUUGCAGAGGAUCUGAACUCAA